UGGAGCAUGUGGUUUAAUUCGACGCAACGCGAAGAACCUUACCAGGGCUUGACAUCCCCUGACCGCGUAUGAAAGUACGUUUUCACCCUCGGGUGACAGGGAGACAGGUGGUGCAUGGUUGUCGUCAGCUCGUGUCGUGAGAUGUUGGGUUAAGUCCCGCAACGAGCGCAACCCCUACGUUUAGUUGCUAACGCGUGAAGGCGAGCACUCUAGACGAACUGCCGUUGACAAAACGGUGGAAGGUGGGGAUGACGUCAAAUCAUCAUGCCCCUUAUGUUCUGGGCUACACACGUACUACAAUGGCCGUUACAACGGGAAGCGAAGGAGCAAUCCGGAGCAAAUCCCUUAAAGGCGGUCCCAGUUUAGAUUGUGGGCUGAAACUCGCCCACAUGAAGGCGGAAUUGCUAGUAAUUGCAGAUCAGCAUGCUGCAGUGAAUACGUUCCCGGGCCUU
rnacentral:rRNA from 1 species